GAAGAUGACGAAACUAAUGUGCUGAUGGU
rnacentral:piRNA from 1 species